rnacentral:rRNA from 1 species
AUUGAACGCUGGCGGCGGGCCUAACACAUGCAAGUCGGACGAGUGGCGGACGGGUGAGUAAUGUCUGGGAAACUGCCUUAUGGAGGGGGAUAACUACUGGAAACGGUAGCUAAUACCGCAUACCAUCGGAUGUGCCCAGGUGGGAUUAGCUAGUUGGUGGGGUAAAGGCUCACCUAGCCGACGAUCCCUAGCUGGUCUGAGAGGAGGACCAGCCACACCGGAACUGAGACACGGCCCAGACUCCUACGGGAGGCAGCAGUGGGGAAUAUUGCACAAUGGGGGCAAGCCUGAUGCAGCCAUGCCGCGUGGAUGAAGAAGGCCUUCGGGUUGUAAAGUACUUUCGGCGGGGAGGCGUUACCCGCAGAAGAAGCACCGGCUAACUCCGUGCCAGCAGCCGCGGUAAUAC